CCUACGGGAGGCUGCAGGCGAGAAAACUUUGCAAUGUGCGAAAGCACGACAAGGUUAAUCCGAGUGGUUUCUGCUAAAGAAACCUUUUGUUAGUCCUAGAAACACUGAUGAAUAAGGGGUGGGCAAGUUCUGGUGUCAGCCGCCGCGGUAAAACCAGCACCUCAAGUGGUCAGGAUGAUUAUUGGGCCUAAAGCAUCCGUAGCCGACUAUGUAAGUUUUCGGUUAAAUCUGUGCGCUUAACGUACAGGCUGCCGGGAAUACUGCAUAGCUAGGAAGUGGGAGAGGUAGACGGUACUUGGUAGGAAGGGGUAAAAUCCUUUGAUCUAUUGAUGACCACCUGUGGCGAAGGCGGUCUACCAGAACACGUUCGACGGUGAGGGAUGAAAGCUGGGGGAGCAAACCGGAUUAGAUACCCGGGUAGUC
rnacentral:rRNA from 1 species